UUUUUUUUUUUUUUUUUUUUUUUUUACAGUUUAGGUCAUCCUGGCCAUCUUAAUGUUAGGAUCUCACAUAAAUUCAUUCUUUUUAUCCUCACAGCCAUCCUAUUGGGUAGGUACUGUUUAAUAUCGUUCCAUUUUAUAGACAAACAAAUUGAGACACACAUUGAUCCCCAGCCAGUGUUGAGUAGGGUUGAGCUUCUAAUACAAAUGUGUGGCGUGCCAGAGUCUGUUCCUAACCACACUCUGAUACUUUCUCUCAUGAUAAUAUACGUUGGAAUUUUUUCCCAAUAUGUGGAAAAAUACCUUCAUCUUUAUUCUCUGAUUCAAGUUUUGGGUUUUGGUUUUUGUUGUUGUUAUUGUUGCUUUUUUUUUUUUUUUUUUUUUUUUUUUGGUCUCAAAUGAGUAAUUCAAAUCCACAAAUAUUCCUUGAGCCUGGACUACACAUAAAACACCAUUUUAUGUGCUGUAACACAUUUGAUUUUAUCUUCAUUAAUGCAAUGUGUGGAAUAUGAUUUUAGAACGAGGGUAAUACUGUUAAAAUAGCUUCAUCUGGAAAUACAUCAGUUUGCAAACAGAUUGGCAUAUUAUCCACAAAUAUAAACAUUUACAAAAAAAAAAUCAGGCAUCAUUUGAUGGCUGUUGCCAUAAUGAUUCAUUGGCACAAGAGAAAUGCUACGUGAUGAGAGAUGCCAAAGCUGUUUGACACAUUUCAAUGGAGUUCAUUACACACAUGAAACAGAACCAAUUUUACUCAACAGUGACUUUGACAUUUACAGAAAAAUGAAAUGGAGGUUUAGAAAUGAAGACUUCAUGUGAAAUCUCUACCAAAAAUUGCAAAUUGGUUAUGUCCUUAUGCCACCACUUCUAGAUCAGCCAUGUUCUAUAGAUUUUUUAUUCACAGCAGGUGGCAACUUACUUAAAACAAAGUUUCUUGGUAGAUCAGAUAAUUGAUCUUGAACAAACUUAAUUGAUUGUAAAACUCUUCUCUCAGAAUAAAGAACAUAUAUAUUUUUAAAGAUUUACUUGUAGAAAGGCAUGUAUACCUUUGGCUUCGCUCUGAUUUCACAGUUCUGCUUCUUGAAUUUGCUGGGUUUUAAUGGAGUAAAUAUUUUCUUCAUGCCCACUGCACCCAAAGACUGUGGGACUAGAGCAAUUUCAGGUUUAGAGUUGGAAUGAGAAAUGUUCAAAAGUUGUAAACAACCAGUUGUUUUCUACUUCUUUAAUGAUAUAAUGUGAGAAAAUAUACCAAAACUUAAUAAGAGAAUUAUAAUACUUAUAUUCCCUUAAUAAGGGCAUUGUAUUAUUAAUGGGGUAUGCCGAUGGUUAGGAUGACUUAUGUGUAGACGAUAUUUUCAGAGAUGUUUUUUGUGAGCAGCAUCAUGCAAAAUACCAUCCUACAGCAUUUAUAUGCAAUGCCAUUUAUUUGAAGAAACAAUUUCCUACCAGAUUUUAAAACAUUCUCUUACUAUGGUAAAUGGUUAAAGUAUAUUAAUAAUGUUGCUUAUUAAAUGCUUACUGUGCUUUCAAUGCCCAGGUUAAAGUUCUGCAUACCAAAGAAUGAAUGUGCUUGAUCUAAUUUGUAAGCCUAGAUAGUAUUCUAGUAUCAUUGCACUGAUUAGAAUUAAUCAAGAAUACUAGAACAAAUGUAUGCUAAGUCUGAAUUCUAAAACUUUAAAGUAAUUAUAUUGCUUUUAAAUCUGCCUAGUAUUUACUUAUUUGUUUGUCUGUAAAAAGUAUAAUAAAAUCAGUAUCUCAAACCUAGAUAACACAGUUGAGUCAUUUAGACUAUUAUCAAACAUAAGUCACUAGAGAAGCGAUUCAAUCAAUAGAGAAGUUUUCUAAUUAGCAUAUUAAUUAUUUGCAAAUAAAAGGUGGUUUCAGAGUACUCCAGGGAACUUGAAUACAUUGCAGUUUGUCUUUUUAUUCUAUAUAUCCCUAUGAAAUAUUUCUACAUUGUUAAUUUCCAACAAUCUAAGGGAAAAGGUUUUGCUAAUCAAAGGAAAACUUUACCCCAGCUUCUGCAUUAAUUAUCACAUAUUCUAAACUGGUAGAUCAUGAAUUAAUGAGGUCUAGGCUCCUCCUAAAUGACAUGGAUUAAAUAAGAGCUGGACUUGACCAUGUAUGUAUUCUUGUGAAGAUGGAAGUAUAUGUGCAUAUUGGCUGAAUAAAGUUACAAAGUAUACAAUUAACCCUGUGUGGGCCUUACCCCCCUAUCCAUAAACAUCUUAAUUACCUUCUACACAUCACUGAAAAGGGGCUACUGUAAAGAUGCAAACUAUUUUUUCUGGAUCAAUCAUUUCUGCACAUCGAAUUUCAGAGUAUACAAAUGACUGCCUAUAAGAAACAGAAAUUCCCUCCAAAAAGCCAGAUGCCAGCAAAAAAGAAAAUAAGAAGUAGAGGUGUGAUCUAUUAAGUAAUCUUUUAAGUCUGUUGCUAAACGAUCAUUAGGCUGCAAUUAGGCAGUUCAAGUUUUAUUUUUAUAGAGUUUUUGAUAUUUCUAAAUGACUUGCUCUGAGUGCCAUGAGGGGAUGGUGGCGUAAAGGUCCAAUAUCCACUUUGUUUUGCGUUCUUUCCCCUCCCACUCUCUAAUCUUCUAGUUCUUUCCUGAUUGAAUACCACACCUGCUAUUUUAAAAUUCACUAUGUGUGCCCUACUUCUUUGUCCUUUUGAUUUACUUCUUGACGUCCACAAAAUGACCCAGCACAGUUGAUUACUACUUGCCAUGUAGUUCCCCUGUAUUUGGACUGCUCAGAAUUCAGCAGCUUCACCAUAUUUCUCAAAGUUAUGCUACACGGGGGCCCUUUCCCUCCUUGACCUAUGGCCAUUUUGCCUCCUAAGAAUCCUGUAUUUUGCAUCUGAGGUUUUGCUUGUAAUAUUUUUUUCAUCAUAUUUUUUAGAUUAAGUAAAGUCUAAAAUAUAUAUACAUCAUUCAUUCCUCAUUCACUUAAACUUUAUCAAAUUCUUAUCCCAUGUAGCAUUAGAAUAAUAACAGCAUGUUAAUUAUAAGAAGACACAUUUGUCCAGUACCAUUUUUACAAGGUCAAAAUUACUACCUUGAAACUGGUUCUGAUUUUUUAAGAUUUUAUUUAUUUAUUCAUGAGAGACACAGAAAGAGACAUAGGCAGAGAGAGAAGUAGGCUCCAUGCAGGGAGCCUGAUGUGGGACUCGAUCCUGGGACUUCAGGAUCACACCCUGAGCUGUAGGCAGAGGCUCAACCACUGAGCCACCCAGGUGUCCCAUGGUUCUGAUUUUUUUUUUCAUGUGAAUGAAGUAAAGAUGAUUUUUAAAAUCUUAACAUAACAAAAUGGAAAGGGAAAAAAACACAGAUUCUAUGAAUGAAUCCAUCCUCCAGUGAACUUUCCUUUUUGCCCACAUUCUUCAUGCAGCCAGCAGGCAUAAAGCUUCCACCUUCUCUGUUUUUACACUACGACUGUGAAAUCCCGAAUUGAAGUCUACACAGAGGAAAAAGAUCAACAAAUGGCAUAAUUCUGAUUUUUAAAGUGCUUCUAUUUUUUAAUUUUAAAAUAAUUUGUUUCGCUCAGAAAUGCUUGUAGAAAAAUGUUCAAGCAGAAGAGGGAAACCUAUGCUAUCUUUUGCAGACUCUUGUGGUGUGCUGUAGAUGGAUUCUUCAUGCAUCACAGUAACAAUAGCAAUAGUGAUAACAAUAGUUAUAAUAAUAAUAGCAGCUGAUACCUAUUAAUACCUUACUAAAUGCCAGGCACUGUUAUAAGUGCUGUGCAUGUAAUGACUUAAUCCCUACAACACCCUAUGAGGUAGUCACUAUCAUUAUCCUCAUUUACAGAAGAAACUAAGGUACGGUGAGAUUAAGCAGUUCACAGCAACUAACAGAGCCUGGAUUUAAACCCAGGCAGUCUGGCUCCAGCACUGACAAUCUUCACCACUGGCAAUCCUGCCUAUCACGAAGUAUUAAAUAAGAAUUGCUAAGUUAUACAUUCAAUAGUCCAGAGUUCGUUGGAGUUUUUUAAACUAUGAUUUUCACACAGAAGUCUAUCCCUCUAAAAAGCUAACACUAAAUAUGAGUGGAUCACAGUAAUUUUAGUAAUUUUGCAUAUUGAGUUUUUAACAAGGACACACCCUGCCAAGCUGAUACAAAAUGAGCUGGGUGAUGGCAAAUCUAGAUGUUCUAACACACUUAGAAACACUGCUUAAAUUUGCAUCACUUUAAAAGCUCAUUACCAACUAAGCAAAAAAAAAAAAAGAAAGAGAAAGAAAGAGAGAGAGAGAGAGAG
rnacentral:lncRNA from 1 species